AGUGAACGCUGGCGGUAGGCCUAACACAUGCAAGUCGAACGGCAGCACAGUACUAGCUUGCUCUUACGGGUGGCGAGUGGUGGACGGGUGCGGAAUACCUCGGUAUCUACUUUUUCGUGGGGGCUAACGUAGGGAAACUUACGCUAAUACUGCAUACGACCUACGGGUGAAAGCAGGGGAUCUUCGGAUCUUGCGCGAUUGAAUGAGCCGAUGUCGGAUUAGCUAGUUGGCGGGGUAAAGGCCCACCAAGGCGACGAUCCGUAGCUGGUCUGAGAGGAUGAUCAGCCACACUGGAACUGAGACACGGUCCAGACUCCUACGGGAGGCAGCAGUGGGGAAUAUUGGACAAUGGGCGCAAGCCUGAUCCAGCCAUACCGCGUGGGUGAAGAAGGCCUUCGGAUUGUAAAGCCCUUUUGUUGGGAAAGAAAAGCAGCAGGUUAAUACCCCGCUGUUCUGACGGUACCCAAAGAAUAAGCACCGGCUAACUUCGUG
rnacentral:rRNA from 1 species